GGGUUGUGAGGUUAAGCGACUAAGCGUACACGGUGGAUGCCCUGGCAGUCAGAGGCGAUGAAGGACGUGCUAAUCUGCGAAAAGCGUCGGUAAGGUGAUAUGAACCGUUAUAGCCGGCGAUGUCCGAAUGGGGAAACCCAGUGCAAUUCGUUGCACUAUCGUUUGAUGAAUACAUAGUCAAACGAGGCGAACCGGGGGAACUGAAACAUCUAAGUACCCCGAGGAAAAGAAAUCAACCG
rnacentral:rRNA from 1 species